CACAGAAAAAUUCCACUUGAAAAAUGAGGCUCUGUCGAUGGGGUUACCUUGAACUGUGGUGAAUCACAUGUCUUACUGGAAAAGAAACACAAACAGGAAGUUCCAGGCCUUUGCAAAUCAAACUCUGUCUCAAAGGAAAAAUAAGGUUGCCACCUUCUCUUCCACACAGCUCAUAAUAAAGUCAGCAGGAACCAGCCCUUCAAAUGGCAUCCCACAUCGGGAAGGAGUCAGGUGUCGUGAAGGGAGAGGCGCUAGACAAGAGAGAUGGUGUAAAGACAAGGAGAAACUCCCACUCGAGCAGAGAGAGUAGAGCCUUCGUGUUUUUUCCGAGUUCAGACCAGACAAAAAGUGGGACAGUGAUGUAUGUGAAAGCACUCUUUAGAUGGGACAAUAUGUCACAAAUAUGAAGCACCAUCAUCAGCGUGAUACGCAUUAUCUAUGCCUUAUGUGGAAAGUUUGAUUCCAAACAAUAAGCAACCAAGUCAUCCCAUUUUGCAAGUUCCUGCAAUGGGCAGCAAAAUAUAGCCUGAAAAGAAAGCUGAUAGCCUCACAAAACCCAAACGAAAGAUAAAAUGAGCAAGAACAGCCACAUACCCAGAGAGAGCAAACCCACACCGCUUGGAGCAAGAAAUCCUCUAAUUGCCUCCACACCCCUGCUCACUUCCAUCUGCUUGCAUUUAAGGAAGCCCAACCACAAGGCUCCCUGCAGCUGCAGAGAAGAAGGGAAAGGCAUUCGGAGCGUGUGGAUGGCUGCUGCAGCAGGCAGGAGCCAACAGUAAGGACGGAAGGUCCCCAAGCAAGACUAAACAGCGCAGCGGACAACAGACUCGAUGUUUGUCACGCAAAAGUGAGCAAACAACGUCUUCUGGUAGUGAGACCGCGUGAAAUAAUAAUGGCACUCAUUCCUGGGAGGAAGGCAGCAGUAACACGCGUGGGCAGGAAUGCUGCAGUGGAGGACAGGACUCAUCUGGACCAGGGAGUCGCAAGGGGCCUAAGCUGCAAGAGGUUUCCCGUGGGGAAGUAAUCCCUGCUUAGUGUGCUGUAACUCAACCUUGACAAAACUCCCAGGUGGCAAUCUUAGUUUUUAGCAAUGCCAACCUUCUGACUUUGGUCUUAUUUUGAUCAUUCCUCCCCUGCUGUCCCUACCUCAAUCUCACCCAUCCCAGUCCUCACUCUUUCUGGGCUAUCCCAUGCUCAGGACUUUCCCCUCUGCCCCCACAAUCUGAGGGAGCCCCCCGAGGAGCAGUUAGAUAGUAUAGUUGUUUUGUUUUUGUUUUUAAGUCACAGCAACUUGGAGAACAGGUGGUCCAUUUUUAGAUGCUGAGACUGAGGUUUACAGAGCCAGAGACAAGACGUGGUCAUCCCACCAGCUGGUGGCAGGGAUAUGAGUCCUCACGUCAUACCUUACAACAUACCACACACGAGAGAAAAAGGAAACCAGUGCUUAGUGACCCAGGGGCCUGACACCAUGUGAGGUGGCUUCACAUACGUGAUCCGAGUUCAAGCCUUACAUGGGUUGGGCUCAAAGAAGUUAAACACUUUUCCUCAAGUCUCACAGCCAGUAAUGGCAGACGCUGGGGUCCACAUCCAGUCUGAUUAUAAAGCCGUCUCUUCCUUCUAGCCUGGAUUGCCUGAAACCGUUCAGGGUGAAGGAAGCUGAUGGCGUAGUUAACUCAAGAGACGGGUACCUCUUGAAGGCUUUCAAUUCUGCCCAGGGUAUAGUGGAAGGAGAACAGUAUAAUGGUGUAAGCAUCAGUGAGUCACACGGCUUGGACCAAGGCUCCAUCAGAAUUUUGGAAAUCGGUCGGAAAAGUUGUUGCCAGAAACGUUUUGGUUUCCUGGCGUGACCAUAGUGUUGCAGUCUGUGGCGACUAGAGGAUUCUAGAGAGGUGGCUUUCCUUUCUCGAAACAGCUUCGUCGUCUAGAGCAGGGUAGAGCUAGGAGGGCAGAGCCUUCCCUGGACCAGGAGCACGGCCUCAAGAACUAAGGGCAGGCUGGGUAAUAAUGCCAAUGGCAGCCAAGUUUGGGCCGCCAGGAUACACGGAGCCCUCUGUGGAAGUGGGAGAGGGCCUGCUGGGCUGUACUGUCAGCAACAAAAUGCCCUCCGGGAUCCCUUGGACAGAGUGUCUUUGCCUCCAACCAUCAUUCCCAACAGAAUAUAGCAGAGCAGACCAGGCCAGGUCGCCAUCAGAGCAGGGCCUGUGUUACACAGUGGAGCGGAGUGGGUGGCUCGGUUUUUGAUGUCUGCAAAAAAAUCCGAUCAUGGCCUUCAACGAGGAGGAACAGCUUCAACAUGCAGGUUGUAUGCAUGCAAUAUGUUCCUGUGGGUAAAUGAUGGAAUUGCACCUACAUGGCCAGAACUGGAAAAGAGAACUGUCCAUCAUCACAGCCAGCUCUCGCCUUCCACGAGCAGCAACAGCGAGGAGGCGUCCCGAGCUGUUGGCUCAAGGCACCACCGCUGUUUCUGCAUCAGUUUUCUGAGGUCUCUCAGACCUCAGCAGUUGAUGUUGAUUAGGUACACCUCCAAGUAAUUUCUAUCCCUGGCGCGGUAUGCCUAAGAUUACAAUUCCACCAACUCUCAAAUCUGUCUCUUUGGAGCAGACAUCACUAGGAUAGGUACGUGAAAAUAACUUGUGUUCUGUCCACUGCUUGAUGAGUUAGACAAAGUUUGCUUCUGUUGGAAUUCCACUCUGCCAACAUUUUAUUGUGAAAAACUUCAAAUACAUAGCUCUAAUAGUUUUAUGUUGAAUAUCUAUCUAGUUCUAACAAUAACAUUAUAUCAUAUUUGCUUUAUCAUAUAGCUAUCCACCUACCGUACUGUAAAACCUUUUACCUACACAUUUAAUAAUUUUACAUCGAACAUCUACCUAGCUUCUAACAUUAACAUUAUACUAUAGGGGCACUGAGUGGCUUGGUCGGUCAAGCGUCUGCCUUUGGCUCAGGUCAUGAUGUUGCAGUUUGUGAGUUCAAGCCCCGUGUCGGGCUGGCUCUGUGCUGACAGCUCAGAGCCUGGAGCCUGCUUCAGAUUCUGUGCCUCCCUCUUUCUCUCUUGCCCCUCCCCCACUCUCUCUCGCUCUCAAAAGUAAAUAAACAUUAAAAAAAUUUAAAAAAAAUUAUAUUUGUUUUAUAAUAUAGUGAUGCAUCUACCCAAACUGUAAAACUUGUCUAGGCAUUUUUUUGUGGUCUUGAUUCUUCUAAGCUGCAGCUUGGGGGAAAGCAUGAUUUUCAGACACCUCUGAGAGUGAGAAUCCCUGCUUGAGCACUUACUAGUCGGGAGACUUUGCACAGGUGUUGGAUUUCCUAGUGCUUCAGCUUCCAUAGUUAUAAAAUGUGAGGAACAAUGCCCAGGGGCCAUGAGGAUUAAAUGCAAUAUGGUCAGGGAAGCACCUGUGAGGACAUGUAACCAAUUUUUAAUUCACGGACAGUGCAGGCACUGGCUGGCUCUCUCACUCUCUUCUCUAUGAUACAAAAUGGCAGUAGUCAAAAAAUAGUAACAAUAAUCCAAUCCAGGUACAGAUGAAACAAGAAUGGCAGAAUGUGGAUAACUGUUGCAAGCUGGGUGAAGCAUACCCGGGGGUCCAUUAUGCUCUACUGUUUACUUUCUACAGAUUUGAAAAUUUCCAUAAAAGAACAUUAAAAAAAUGAAUUCACCACUGGAUUUUGUCAAGAAAAAUAGAAGGAAUCCUGUAUUUGAAAAACUUCGUAAGAAAGCUCGCAGGAAGUAACAAGAUAAGAAAUGAUGACACGGGAGGCCCUGGGCCAUCUCACUCUCACAGAUGGGGAGGAAGCACGGGGUUUAGGUACUUUGUACAUGUUCCCCAGUGACUUGGUUCACUACUGGGUGAGAACCUUUGUACUUGGCAGAAAAGUGUGAAACCACACUUUCCAGCAUAUUAACUGUGAGAAUAAAUACUUUGCAUAAUGCAAAGCUUGUGCCUCCAGCUAAUUUGCAGGCGGAGGACAGCGUGCGGAGCCUCUGAAUUAGCAGAAUAAAAACUAUUUGUAAUGGAACAGCCUCCCUCUGUAAGUCAGGGCUGGGUCAGCAAAGGACUCCAUUAGACUGGAUUCUCCCGCAUCACUUAUCAGUGGUCUGGACUAGUAGAGAUAAAGGGUUCCUUAGCCACUUUCAGAACUGGAGAAACCUGGAGUAAAAAAACAAAAACUGCGGACAGCGUUUAACUGAGAAGGGAAAAGAGAGGCUUCAUUUCUUUCCUUUAAAACAAAAAUGUCACCUUCCUGUUCCAGUCACCUGAUUCCUUCCCUUCCCUGCUGUGGUUCGUUCUCUCUCGUUCACCUCUGCUGGCAGUCAGGGGCAAGGAGAGGCCGUGAUGGAGCGGCUCCGCUCAGUGAGAUGGUGUGUGUCUCUUGGGGCCCUCACAGGGGCAGUAGAAGCAAGGUGUUUGAGGGGUGGGGCAGCUGUACUUCCACAGGGAAGUGACAAAGCCACGCUUUCUGCAUGAGGGCCGCAAAGAAGAAAGCUAGUGACAGGGGGGACCUGCACACAGGGGUGUGUGCACACGUGUGAGCACAGACAUGCACACACACUCCUUCAGAGGAUCUGGCAAUAUGUGUAUACCCAUGUGUUACUGCCUCGUGUCUCCCCCAAACUCAUAUGCUGAAGCCCUAAACCCCAGUGUGACUAUAUUUGUUGAUAGGUCUUUUAAGGUCAUUAAGGUUCAAUGAGGCCACAGGAUAGGGCGCUAGUCCCACAGGUCUGCUGUUCUUGUAAGAGGAAGUGAUACUAGGGAUGUGUCUGUGCAGAGAGAAGGCCACAGGAGAACACGGUGAGAAGGCGGCUAUUUGCAAACCUCUUUGCAGAAAGGAGAGGCUUAACCAGGAGAAGAGGCCUCUUUGGGCACCUGUGCCGAGAGAGACCCAGUGUUGGACAAAGAGGUGAAUUUUCCAGCCUGAGAGACUGGGAAGAAGUGGUAUUUAAGACAGGCCUUGCCGCAGACCCUAAGAAAUGGGAGGAAGGCAUUCUAGCGCAGGAAAGUGAGUCCCUGAGGCCCAGUUGAGGGCACAGAGGUGAUCUGGUUUUGCUGUGGGAUGAAUAUGAAGUGUAGGUCGGACAGAAGGAUUGUGAAAGGCCUUGAGUACGUUCACCACGUUUAGGCCUUUCUCAGAGGCUAAUGGGAGCCUGCAAAGUUGUAAACAGAGGAUGACAAGACUGAUACAUAUGCUAACAAGGGCAAAGUCAGGAGACCUCACAUGGAAUAAGCAUUUGGUAGUGCCAGGCAUCAUGUUAGCACCACAUCUUAUCUCCCGUAAUUCUCAACUACCACUUGGGAAAGUAGGAUGGUGAGUUCAAGAGGUGGAGUCACUUGUCCAAGACCCCACAGCUGGUUUCCAGCAGGGAGCUCCGAUUUCAGUCAUAGGCCCAGCACCAAAGCGAAUGCCCUGCCCAUCCUGCCACUUAAAAGCUUAAAUCCAGUUCUCACAACUUCGCCUGCUUUCCUUGCAACCAGAAUGGCUAUUUAAUGGAACAGAGACUGGAAUGCACAUUUUGUUUAGGCUUAGGAAGCGGGCAGAACAGCAGCAAAAACUUCCAAUGCACAGGGCACGUCUAGAAAUAUUAUUCAGCCUUCCAAAAGAAGCAGUAUGUGGGCCGGUUCUCGUCCUUCCUGUCACAACACAAAGUUACAAGUUUUCCUGUUACAGUUCAGGACUGUAUCAAAGUAACCAAUAAUGGUAAUUUGCAUGUAAGCUGCAAAAAUGCGUAGGGAGAGCAGUUGCCCUGGGCGAGCUGACACCCAGCGCUGACUAUAUAUUUUUCGGGGCAGUGUCGACAGCUACUCUCAAAUAUUCUUUGCCCCCCAACUCCUGAAAGAGCAUCCAAUAUCCAGGGGAACACAGUGCUGUGUUCUGGGUCCACUGGAAGGACAGACUUAGUGAGGGAUGCCAUGAUCAUUUCUUUUGGCUCCAUUGCUUAUCCACAACCUCAGAUAUAUUUAAGAAUGAAAAAAAGAGUAAAAAACUGGGUUAGAAACAAGAGUUAAUGUUCCCGAAAUACAAAAAUCAAAUCAUACCAUGACAUGUACCAGCAGGAAGCACUUAAAUAUUCUUAAAUGCACUCUCCUCCAAGGGCAAACAUUUUUAGUAUUUAGGAAGCAGUACUUACAGAGGUAACUUGGGUGCUAUUUUGAAAAUUACACACUACUAUUAUUAUCCUAAGAUAUAGUUGUGCAUGUAUAACAGUUUGUCAGGGGAAAGGCAAACUACUGAGAGCAUCAAUUCAAUUCAGCACACCUACCGUGCUGGAUGUCUACUGUGUCAGGCAGUGUAACUAGAUAGAUCAGGAUAAAUGAACUGAAUAGUAUCAGAGGUUGGUCAAAUCACUCUAAAAACAACUGAUGUCAUAAUGACCUUCUUUUUUUUUUUUUUUUUAACUUUAGAACCAAAUUUUGAGAGCCAUUCCUUUGAAAAACAGGCAUAAUAUUUUCCACUUCCUUGCCUAACCAUGCCCCAAGACUCAUGUUCAGUGGCUUCUCUGUGAAAUUUUCCUAACACUGCCUACCCCAUUCCAUCUUCAAGAAGACAGUGGGGUAGAACUGGGAAUGUGUGUGUGUAUCCACAUGUAUGUGUGCGUGUGCCCAUGUGUGUGUUUAUUGGAGGGUCUUCCUUUCCUUUUUUGCUCCACAGAUAUACAAUACUCAUAUUACACUUUCCACAUUGCAUCCCAGUUGUUGGAUCCCGGUCUCACCCAUAAAACAAAACCCUCAGGGUCAUGUACUGUGUCUCAAUGUACUUCUGUUUUCCCAAGGUAGGAACAAUGCCUAGCACUGCUCCUUAAAUGUUUUCUGAAUGAACGAACGAAUGUUUUGACUAUGAGCUUUAUCGCAGACUCCAGAGUGUUUGAUAGUCAAAAUAUUCUCCAUGGUGGGUGUCAAAAAUUUCAAUGCAUGCAUAUAAAUACACUUCAGGAUAAUAAGUUUGUUAAAGUAUAACUUACAUCUAGUAAAGCUGACCUUGAGUUUUGACAAAUGGACACAAUUGAGCAAGGGUAGGUGGUUCUUAUGUACUUGCUUGGAUCCUGUCCUCAGGACUGUGAGGCUUGGGUGCCAGGGUUUUUAACAAACUCCUCUGGUGAUUCAGAGAAGAAUCCUUGGAGUCGAUGAUGCUGUGCCACUGAAUUCUAGAUUUCCUUGCCCUUCCUCAGCCCCAUCCAUCACUCUCAGUCAACUAUUAAUAUUGAAGAUGAAACCAAAACGUUUCUACUCAGCAUAACACUGGAAGCAAAACCUAGGUAACUCAGCCACUUGGCUGGAGUCAACUAUAAUUUCUGGUUGCUUAGCAGAAAUACAGCUACUAAAUGAUAUUUUUAAAUGAACAUGAGAUAUCCACCUAAAAAAAAUGCCUUUGAAUCAGAGUGAAUAAAAGGACUAUAAUUUAAUAAAUGAGGGGCUAAUCCAGAAUUACUGUAGGGAAGGGAUUGGGGUGAGAGAAGAAGUCUGCCCUGACAACACAUUGUUUUGAUUCCAAAUGCAACCUUCCACCUAAGUUCAAGGGGCUUUGUGAAUGACAGAGACUGACACAAGGUCAAAACUUAAGGAAGGCAGUGCUGAAGGAAAAUAGAGGAAAUUCAUUUCAUCCUUCCAAUACUGGAGGAGGCCACAGGACAAGGGGGGG